AACGAACGCCGGCGGCAGGCUUAACACAUGCAAGUCGAGCGCCUCGCCAGAGGAGCGGCAGACGGGUGAGUACCGCGUGGGAACGUACCCUUAUCUUCGGAAUAGCUCUGGGAAACUGGAAGUAAUACCGAAUGUGCCCUUAGGGGGAAAGAUUUAUCGGAUAAGGAUCGGCCCGCGUUGGAUUAGCUAGUUGGUGGGGUAAAGGCCUACCAAGGCGACGAUCCAUAGCUGGGCUGAGAGGAUGAUCAGCCACAUUGGGACUGAGACACGGCCCAAACUCCUACGGGAGGCAGCAGUGGGGAAUAUUGGACAAUGGGCGCAAGCCUGAUCCAGCCAUGCCGCGUGAGUGAUGAAGGCCUUAGGGUUGUAAAGCUCUUUCACCGGAGAAGAUAAUGACGGUAUCCGGAGAAGAAGCCCCGGCUAACUUCGUG
rnacentral:rRNA from 1 species